GGUGGGGAUAUAGCUUAGUUGGUAGAGUGCUUGCCUCGCAUGCACAAGGCCCUGGGUUCAAUCCCCAGCACCACCCCCACCA